rnacentral:misc_RNA from 1 species
AGAAGCCUCAGAGCAUCAGUCGGGUGCGAGGGACUCUCUCUCCCUCUCCACCCCACGGUGCAGGUACUCAGCUUCCUGGAUGCGUGAACUUGUACUCUGCUUCAACACGGCAAACUGAAAAUAAAAAGCAGGCGGGCCAGUUAGCUCCUUUGAAACACGAAGCUGAUACUGCUGCCAAAGAUAUGGGCCUCAAGCGACUUGCCAAGGCGACGAAGAUCACGAGCAAGCACAUGCUCCUCCUCAACCGGCGGGAGCCGUACAAGCCCGUCACCAGCGACCGUGUCAUGAUUGAGAACCGCCGCCGCCUCGAGGACUUCGAGGCCAAGAACGCUGAAGGAAUCGUCUUUGUGCCGGACACGGCGCUCCCGCCGUGGCAGAAGUCCAUCGCAACAAACCUCAAGCAGCAGGCGACGCAGAUGAACUUUCGAGGCUUCCGAGUGCGAGUGGCGGACAAGCAAGAUGAGCCUGGAUUCCCCACGCACUUCCGGUGAAGGCAGCGGUGCGCAUCGGCGGGGAGAAAAAAAAAAGGAAUGGCGGAGAUGGUGGCAGCCACGACGCUGAGCGCAAGCGAGGUGCGGUAGAAGCGUUGGCUGCAACGGUCCUUCCCCUGAUCCCCCCUCUUCGUGACUUUCUGCACUACGUGCUGCCGCAUAGCACAGAAAAUUUGCUGGUAUGGUGCCGGUGUCAUGGAGCUGCGCUUGGCACCGAAAUUGGACGCGAAAACCAGAAAAACACUCUAACGCAGGAAAGGUAGGGAAAGGAAAAAAUAAAGAGGCGGCGUAACGUGACUUGUGUCCCCUGCUCUUUUUCUAUGCGCGGAUUGGCAGAGGGCGGAUUUUCAGCGUAGUUGGCCAGCAGGAACGCAGACACUCGCACAUGAAACGCGCCUUGUCACUCUAUCCGCGCGCCCGCCCCCCCCCCCACAUCCACCCACCCACCUCCAACAACAAAAAAAACGGAUCGAUUUGUCACAGACCCCCUCCCCCGUUGCGCCACGCGCCUUGCUUUCCCGCUCCUCCUCAUCAGCUUGCUGCC